AACGUAGGACGCAAACGUUAUCCGGAGUUACUGGGCGUAAAGCGCGUGCAGGCGGAUGGUUAAGUCAGCUAUGAAAGCUCCUGGCUAAACUGGGAGAGGUUAGCUGAAACUGGCCGUCUAGAGAGAAGCAGAGGAAGAUGGAAUUCCGCGUGUAGUGGUGAAAUGCGUAGAUAUGCGGAGGAACACCAGUGGCGAAGGCGAUCUUCUGGGCUUCCACUGACGCUGAGACGCGAAAGCAUGGGGAGCGAACGGG
rnacentral:misc_RNA from 1 species